rnacentral:rRNA from 1 species
UACGUAGGGGCAAGCGUUAUCCGGAUUUACUGGGUGUAAAGGGAGCGCAGACGGAACUGCAAGUCUGAUGUGAAAGCCCGGGGCUCAACCGCGGGACUGCAUUGGAAACUGUAGAUCUGGAGUGCCGGAGGGGCAAGCGGAAUUCCUGGUGUAGCGGUGAAAUGCGUAGAUAUCAGGAGGAACACCGGCGGCGAAGGCGGCUUGCUGGACGGCAACUGACGUUGAGGCUCGAAAGCGUGGGGAGCAAACAGGAUUAGAUACCCGGGUAGUCCCU